rnacentral:misc_RNA from 1 species
AGAAGAAGCAGAUACAGCUAUUCCACUGCGCCGAGUCAGAAGAUCUCGCUCGUAAGAUCGCCGACCAAUCCGAGGCCAUACAGCUCCAGGCAAUCACUUGGAGGAGCUUUGCUGAUGGAUUCCCAAAUCUUUUCAUCAACAAUGCACAUGAUAUUAGGGGACAGCAUGUUGCUUUUUUAGCCUCUUUCAGCUCUCCCGGGGUCAUCUUUGAGCAGAUAUCUGUCAUCUUUGCUUUGCCAAAACUUUU